AUUUCAUUAAAUUAAAAUUUAAUUCAUACUUUGAAUUUUCUCUCUCCAUCACCUCUUUCAAAUAUGAAACAAAAUACAUGAAAGGGAAAUUGCAUAUUUUAAAGUAUUCUCAAGCAAAAAUCUAUGUUCCUACUAGAACAUUAAUUUCGUCCUUCAUAAUUAACUAUUGCAUUUUUCUUUCAUCAGGAUCUGACCUUUAAGGUGUUCCUGUUGUGUGUGUUUUUAAUGCCUAACUUUUCUGGAAAACGAGCAGAGGUCAUAAUGAGGCAUAAUUAUAUACAGUAUAUAAUUUUCUUUGGCCUUUUUCAAGUGCUAAUUUAGCUAUCAUUUCUUCGUAUAGAAUCUUUAUAAGAAAUAUGUUUUAAAAUCAAAAUCCUUUCUUCAGUUUUGGCCGGAAUUAUAUGUUCAGUAAAUAAUACAGACAGGAAAUUUAGUAACAUAACAUAGGGAUGUUAAGUGAACUCUGUAAAAUAAAUCCUUAUUUAUCUAGAUGGCAAAUGAGUUUCUGAAACAGCUUUUUCCCUCCACACUCUGCUUUUAUGAGAAGGAAAUAAGUGAUGUGUGUACUGCAUCGUCAGCCUCCCUCACCUGUGUGACUUGCUCUACCUGGGUGACUUUCAACCCCUGCUCCACCAGUGCCUGCGUCCCUGGCACCCACUCACAUGACUGAUCUUCUGUCUUAAUCAUAUAGUCAGUAAAUGCCUGUGUAGCUGCCCCUGGCCCCAGCUAAUGAUCUAAUUUUUAGAUCAGAACUAUCUCUACUAUGACAGUUUAUCAAAGGGGUGGCAAGGGGUGCAUCCCUUUGCUGGUUUCCCUGGCAACCAAUGAGCCACCCUCAUGUCAGUUUCCCCUGUAACUAGUAAUCUCCCUCUUCCUUUGGUAGUGAAGACUGCUGCCGUGUCCUGCCCACAGCCUGCUGCACCCAGUAGGGUGUUGCUCCAGGACCUUGCUUUAGACGUGUAAGCUCCCCCGAUCCAUUAAACCAUUGCUGUCUCUGUCACUGACUCUGGGCUCUUCCUUCCAUCUCGAAGCUGAGCAAAAACAGGGCUUGCAGGCCUGUAGGCUGCAGCCCAACACCUACCUUUCCGGUCCUCAAUUUCCUUCCUGCAAAAUGGGCAUAAAAUUAGCACAGGGCCUGGCACAUAGUAGGCACUCAAGAGAUAAUGAUUUAUUUUUUCUUUAGAUUGAUUUAAAAACCAUAUCCAGAGUGUGUUUAAUGACUUUAGGCUGAUUUCUUGUAACUCACGCAUUUCCCAUACUAAACAAUACUUGAUCAAUAUUAUGGUGAUACCAAAUCAUCAAAGAUUAAAUUUCGUUUAAAAAUGUUUAGGUUGCCAGGAAGUCACACAUGAAUUCAAUAAUCAGACAGUCUGGUUAAGAAGAAUAGUCUGGUGUUCAAUCAUUCUGAAUCAAUCAGAAUCUGCUUACUUUUACUUUUGUUAAUGUGCCAAUUAAAUAUUUCAUUCAUAUUAACAAUGCCUCUUAGCCUUUAAAUAAUUAGUAGUUUUACCUUCUAACUAUAUUUUCCCACAUAAUUUGCAUCAGUAGAGUAAUAUUAUGAGAGAAUAAUCCUGAACUUAGAACAAAGAAAAAAAGUAUUUAGAACAGGGGCAAAUGGUGUACAUGUAAAAGAAUUGUUUCUUGAAAGGUCAAGGAGCUUUCAUUUUACAAAAUCUCAUUUGAGGUUGACAGAGAUGAGAGAAUCUAUAUGAAGACUGAUUUAAUUUUCACAACAUUCUAAUGACAAGAUAAAAUUCAGCAACUUGGAUUUCUAUACUAACAAAACUUAAAUGAAACAUGUUUGCAAGCAAACAAGCAAGCACGCACACACACACAAACACACAGAGGAAUUAUUUGUUUUGAAUUGCUGACAGUGUAAGUAACUUGAUCAACUAAUAGAACCAGACUAAUUCUAUAAACCUUAGAGUAUUUUUUAUAAACCAGUGGUUAGGGAAUAUCGGGUUUUAAAGAGGAUCUUAUGCAUUUUUAUGUUCCUAAUGCCUUAAAUCAUUUUAGUCCUUGGAUAAAUUUUGCUGAAUAAUAUUUGUUUUAUGUCUGUAAUGGCCUAUUUGUUUAUAAGGAGUUGGGAAUUUUUUUUAAUGGAAGGUUAAGAUAAGGACAAAUAAAUGUUUUAAUGAUUUUAGCAUAGUUUUAACUAAAUCAUGUAGUAAAUUAAUUAGUAUUAAUUUUUAUCAAUUCAUUAAGUCCAUUUAUAUGCCUUGAUGGAAUGAAAGAAACAUCAAAUUUUACAUCUGACGAUGCUAGUCCAAAUUUCCCACAUUAAAUAGAUGAAGAAGGGAGGAAGACCACAGUCUGUAAAGGGGAUAAACAUGGAAACUUAUGUGGUAGAGACACAGAAGGCUUUGUGACAAUCUGGAAAAUAUAUAUAUAUAUAUUUUGUCUUUUGUCUUUUUAAGGCCGCACCCGCAGCAUAUGGAGGUUCUCAGGCUAGGGAUCUAAUCAGAGCUACAGCUGCCAGCCUAUGCCAGAGCCACGGCAGACCAGAUCCGAGCCACAUCUGCAACCUACACCAUAGCUCACGGCAAUGUCAGAUCCUUAACCCACUGAUCGAGGCCAGGGAUCGAACCUGCAACCUCAUGAUUCCUAGUCGGAUUUGUUUCCACUGCCCCACAGAUAGAACUCCCAAGAUCUGGAAAAUCUUAAUGUUCCAUAUUUCUGCCUCUGUAGUUAACAAGGGGUUACCUGGGCCAGAUUAUCAAAUUGGGUGGUUUCUCCUGUGUAAAUUUGAAGCUAAGUUUUGUUGCAUUUCACAUUUAUGUGCUUUAAGUUCACUUUUUUGGAAUAACUUACUCAUCAGAAAGUUCAAAUUCUUUGUGGCUGUGGCAACAAGCAUCUGGAGCUGUACAUCCACGCAAAGGAGUAUUGAUUCUCUUGUUCUUUGGAAGCCCUGUCUCAGGUUUUGGGGCACUGCCUUUCAAGCAAGAGAGUGCAAGCCUCAGUAUUAGCAGUUCUCAAAUAUGAUGUCACAAGGGAUUUCUAAUCAACGUUAAAGUACCAAUCUUUAGGAAUCACUUUUUAUUUUAUUUUAUUUUAUUUUAUUUUAUUUUACUUUGCUUUUUAGGACUGCACCCAUGGCAUAUGGAGGUUCCCAGGCUAGGGGUCAAAUCAAGAGCUACAGCUGCCAGCCUACGCCACAGCCACAGCAAUGCCAGAUCUGAGCUGCAUCUGUGACCUACACCACAGCUCAUGGCAAUGCUGGAUCCUUAACCCACUGAGCGAGGCCAGGGAUCAAACCUGAAACCUCAUGGUUCCUCGUCAGAUUGGUUUCCCCUAUGCCACAAAGGGAACUCCAGGAAUCAGUUUUUAAGUAUGAAUUAGACUGUCUUCAAAGCUAUCCAUAAACUAAUGACACUCCAUUCAGCUUCAUUAAGAUCCCCUUCAGGAGUGGGAGAAAAGAAGGCAGAGACUUUCCUGACUGGAAAUUUCUUGUCAAUGCUUGACAAAAGUCAGGAGUAUCUCCCACAUGAGAACACCUUCCAAAUUGCAUGUUGCAGUGGGAAAAGAGACUGAGAAAAGUUGCUUUAUAUGCAUGUCUUGGUUUCCUUUAAAACACAAGUACAAACAAUUCUUGCAUAUGUCCUGCUUUGGUGAGGGCCCAUGAGUCAGGAUCAGAAUGAUCUCAAGGCAUUGGCCAAAACGCCUUUGCUGCAGAAGGUUUAAUAUCAUGGGCCUGACUUGUAGAUGUCAUUUUCUUAUUUUUCUAUGGAAAUGCAAAUACAUGACAAGUCUUAAAUUAAGAGCCCAUUGCUAUAUGGAAGUUUGCGUGGUUGCUUCUUAAGGACAAAGUGGCUAAAAGACCACUGUCUUUAAGUGUCCCCUCCUGAGGUACAUGUCAGUAGGAGGUGGUAAUGCUGUCAGAGGUGAAUUAAGAAAAACGUAAAGGGGAGCUCUGGCUCUGCGCAACAGGAUCAGGGAUGAGUACACUGGGACGCAGGUUCAAUCCCUGGCCCAGCACAGUGGGUUAAGGAUCUUGUAUUGCCGAAGCUACAGCUUAGGUUGCAACUAUGGCUGGAUCUAAUCCCUGGCAUGGGAACUCUAUAUGCUGUGGGAUGGCCAAAAAAAAAAAGAGAGAAAGAAAAAGAAAAGAAAGGAAAAAGGUAAAGAAAGGCUGCUACCUUUUGAAUUUAAUCUAUUAAACAAGAGUGUCCAUCUACGACCACAGCAGGGUCGGUGGUGAGUAUUGUCUCCUUGGUAAAUUCAGAUUGUUAUUUAUAACUAGUACUUAGAAAAUACAAGUGUAUCUUAAACAACCUUUGAUCACGGUUUCACGUUUGUUUAGGUUAAAAAUAAAUUUGAAAACUCUGACUCUGAAAUGGACUAGAUUUAAAUUUCUUGGACUACUUUAGAAAAGCAUUUAGAAAAAGGAUUCUAGUUUACUGAGGAAUUGAAGUGAGUUUAGGUUAUGUCAAUUUUCCUGAUGGUUUUGAUUGAACUAAUGACUUAGUCUGUAACUGACUAACCCUCUAAAUCAAUCAAAGCUGGGCCAUAAUAAGUAAACUAAACUUAAAUCCUAAAACCAACUGUGGAUGUAGAACAAUCUUUAAAUUUAUGAAGCAAAGCAGACUUUAUUUUACUAAGGACUCAUGAAACUGAAAUUAAGCACUCAGUAAAAUCUAGAAAGCAGAACAUGACUACUGCAGGUGCUAAUACAUUAUAUUGAUUUUGCAAAUGGAAAUCUACCUACCUCUAAGAAAAGGCAUCAGAAUUUAGAACACUGUAGACCAGGGAUGGGAUGACUUUUUCUGUAAAGGGCCAGGUAGUAAAUAUUUUAGGUUUUGCAGGCCAUGUGGUCUCUGUCAGAACUACUUAAUUUUGCGAUUAUAGUGUAAAAACAGCCAUAGACAAUAUGUCAACAAAUGUGUGUGGCUGUGUUCCAAUAAAACUUUAUUCAUAGACACUCAAAUCUGAAUUUCAUAUAAUUUUUACAUGUCAUCAAACACUCUUUUGAUUUUUUUGAACCAUUUAAAAAGGUUUACCUUUUUAAUGGUAAAUCAUUUAAUGGUAAACCAUUCUUAGUUCAUAGGCCGAAAAAACAAAACAAAAAAAUGAGCAAUGGGCCAGCUAUAGCUCACAAGCUGUCAUUUUAUGAUGCCUCCCUUAGACUAAUGAAGAAUGAGCAGUAAGAAUGUGAACCUUAAGACACAUCAACAAUGUCAGUAGGUCAUUCACUCUUCACUAAAGAGUAGCUG
rnacentral:lncRNA from 1 species